rnacentral:rRNA from 1 species
AGUGUACGCUGGCGGUAGGCCUAACACAUGCAAGUCGAACGGCAGCACAGUAAGAGCUUGCUCUUACGGGUGGCGAGUGGCGGACGGGUGAGGAAUACAUCGGAAUCUACUUUUUCGUGGGGGAUAACGUAGGGAAACUUACGCUAAUACCGCAUACGACCUACGGGUGAAAGCAGGGGAUCUUCGGACCUUGCGCGAUUGAAUGAGCCGAUGUCGGAUUAGCUAGUUGGCGGGGUAAAGGCCCACCAAGGCGACGAUCCGUAGCUGGUCUGAGAGGAUGAUCAGCCACACUGGAACUGAGCCACGGUCCAGACUCCUACGGGAGGCAGCAGUGGGGAAUAAUGGACAAUUGGCGCAAGCCUGAUCCAGCCAUACCGCGUGGGUGAAGAAGGCCUUCGGGUUGUAAAGCCCUUUUGUUGGGAAAGAAAAGCAGCAGGUUAAUACCCCGCUGUUCUGACGGUACCCAAAGAAUAAGCACCGGCUAACUUCGUG